rnacentral:rRNA from 1 species
GACAGAGGGUGCGAACGUUGUUCGGAAUUACUGGGCGUAAAGCGCGUGUAGGCGGCAGCGCAAGUCGGGCGUGAAAUCCCACGGCUCAACCGUGGAAGUGCACUCGAAACUGCGCAGCUAGAGUCCUGGAGAGGAAGGUGGAAUGCUUGGUGUAGAGGUGAAAUUCGUAGAUAUCAAGCGGAACACCGGUGGCGAAGGCGACCUUCUGGACAGUGACUGACGCUCAUGCACGAAAGCGUGGGGAGCAAACAGG